UACGAAGGGGGCUAGCGUUGCUCGGAAUCACUGGGCGUAAAGGGUGCGUAGGCGGGUCUCUAAGUCAGGGGUGAAAUCCUGGAGCUCAACUCCAGAACUGCCUUUGAUACUGAAGAUCUUGAGUUCGGGAGAGGUGAGUGGAACUGCGAGUGUAGAGGUGAAAUUCGUAGAUAUUCGGAGGAACACCAGUGGCGAAGGCGGCUCACUGGCUCGACACUGACGCUGAGGUGCGAAAGCGUGGGGAGCAAACAGG
rnacentral:rRNA from 1 species